rnacentral:rRNA from 1 species
GCGUGAGUGAUGACGGCCCUAGGGUUGUAAAGCUCUUUCGCAGGUGAAGAUAAUGACGGUAACCUGAGAAGAAGCCCCGGCUAACUUCGUGCCAGCAGCCGCGGUAAUACGAAGGGGGCUAGCGUUGUUCGGAAUUACUGGGCGUAAAGCGCACGUAGGCGGAUGUUUAAGUUAGGGGUGAAAUCCCAGGGCUCAACCCUGGAACUGCCUCUAAUACUGGGCAUCUAGAGUCCGAGAGAGGUGAGUGGAAUUCCGAGUGUAGAGGUGAAAUUCGU